UACGAGGGGGGCAAGCGUUGUUCGGAAUUAUUGGGCGUAAAGGGUGCGUAGGCGGUUUGGUAAGUCUUCUGUGAAAUCUACAGGCUCAACUUGUAGUCUGCAUGAGAAACUGCCGGGCUUGAGUAUGGGAGAGGUGAGUGGAAUUCCUGGUGUAGCGGUGAAAUGCGUAGAUAUCAGGAGGAACACCUGUGGCGAAAGCGGCUCACUGGACCAUAACUGACGCUGAUGCACGAAAGCUAGGGGAGCAAACAGG
rnacentral:rRNA from 1 species